GACGAACGCUGGCGGCGUGCCUAAUACAUGCAAGUAGAACGCACAGUUUAUACCGUAGCUUGCUACACCAUAGACUGUGAGUUGCGAACGGGUGAGUAACGCGUAGGUAACCUGCCUGGUAGCGGGGGAUAACUAUUGGAAACGAUAGCUAAUACCGCAUAAUAUUAAUUAUUGCAUGAUAAUUAAUUGAAAGGUGCAAUUGCACCACUACCAGAUGGAUCUGCGUUGUAUUAGCUAGUAGGUGAGGUAACGGCUCACCUAGGCGACGAUACAUAGCCGACCUGAGAGGGUGAUCGGCCACACUGGGACUGAGACACGGCCCAGACUCCUACGGGAGGCAGCAGUAGGGAAUCUUCGGCAAUGGACGAAAGUCUGACCGAGCAACGCCGCGUGAGUGAAGAAGGUUUUCGGAUCGUAAAGCUCUGUUGUAAGAGAAGAACGGGUGUGAGAGUGGAAAGUUCACACUGUGACGGUAUCUUACCAGAAAGGGACGGCUAACUACGUG
rnacentral:rRNA from 1 species